CUCAAACUGCUUAGUAAAAACCGUUUUCCUCUUCCCAACAAAAGUCGAUCUUUUUUGAACUCCCACUUUAUCUGUCAAAAUCAUGAAACCACUUCAUCUUCCUACUCAUUUCUUUCAAAAAGACAUAGUAAUCCACUUUCACGGAUUCUUCUCCAUGGAGAAUCAAACAACCCCCCUCCACAUCAAGCAGAUACAUUAAUCAGAAACGGCGCAAAAAAACUUCAAUUACCAAAGGUUAGUUCUUUCAUCAUCAUUACUAUCUCUUAAAAUAAUUUUUAUGUAUUUUUUAUUUGCAAGCAAAUAACUAUUCCACAGGCUCUAUAACUUCUUAGACAAAGUGGAUUCAACUGCUUUUCUUUUUCAAGCACAAUAAAACUUCAAACUAAGUUCAGUUUGCAAUUUGACAUGGAAGAUCAGAAAAAAAUUGUAAGAAAAAUAAAAUAGAUUUACGGAAAGUCUUAACUACUUUUUUCUUUUCAUCCGAUAACAAUGGUAUGAACUUUUGCCCUCUUUUUUCUUUGUUUGGUUUACAUUAAAUUUUUCUUCUGUAGUACUUUUUAGAUAUGUUCUAUAUUGCCAGGUUAUGACAGAAAUUAUGAACCACAAAAAUUUAUGUCUAACAUUUUCCCAAGCAGAAGGAGGUAGACCGAAACUCUUACCAUGUAGGCAUAUAAGUGCUUUGUAACUGUUGGAUAUUGGGUUUGGGUCACGGGUCGCCCAUAUGGACUAACCAUACCGAUUUAGAGGAGAUAAAACCUAAAAGAGGUUACCCAGGGAGUUAAAUAUAGAUAAAUAAAAAAACUGUUGCACGUUAAAAACAUAAUGGGAACGUGCAAUUGUAAGAGCAGCAGUUUUUCCUUUCUUGAAAUCUAUCUCUCUCCUAUAUAUAUCUUCCUUCCUCAACAGAGAAAGAUACGACGAAAUGAUUCUCCCUAAAAGAAAAGAAACACAGUGUGAUAAACAAAGACAAGGUAUUUAGUUCGUGAACAAGGAUUUCAUUUACAAGAGAGACGAAAUUGGAUUCGGGCAAAUGAACAGAUUCUGCAAAAUCUUCCUUUGUUGUUAACAGGUGAAAACUAUUACAUUUGCAUAACUCAACACAUUUUUAUUUUAUUUAUUUUUUCAUCUUGACAAGCACAAAACAGAAUACCGCGUUGGUCAAGAGCAAGAAAUAGAGAUGCCAAGGUAAAUUUGAUUGACAUCAAGUCUAUAAGUUAUUCUUAAAAUUUUCAAUAGUCUACAGGUCACUAACAUUUUUAUUUCUUCGCGCAAGUGGGCAAAAACUUAUCUAAGAAUGUAAAGCCCCAAAAAUUUGCUUUACUGCAUUAGUUUGAAGCUUUAAGUAAAUGUUAUUUAUGCUA